rnacentral:rRNA from 1 species
GAUGAACGCUGGCGGCGUGCUUAACACAUGCAAGUCGAACGAUGAAGCCCAGCUUGCUGGGUGGAUUAGUGGCGAACGGGUGAGUAACACGUGAGUAACCUGCCUUUAACUCUGGGAUAAGCCUGGGAAACUAGGUCUAAUACCGGAUAGGAGCGCCUACCGCAUGGUGGGUGUUGGAAAGAUUUAUCGGUUUUGGAUGGACUCGCGGCCUAUCAGCUUGUUGGUGAGGUAAUGGCUCACCAAGGCGACGACGGGUAGCCGGCCUGAGAGGGUGACCGGCCACACUGGGACUGAGACACGGCCCAGACUCCUACGGGAGGCAGCAGUGGGGAAUAUUGCACAAUGGGCGAAAGCCUGAUGCAGCGACGCCGCGUGAGGGAUGACGGCCUUCGGGUUGUAAACCUCUUUCAGUAGGGAAGAAGCGAAAGUGACGGUACCUGCAGAAGAAGCACCGGCUAACUACGUGCCAGCAGCCGCGGUAAUACGUAGGGUGCGAGCGUUAUCCGGAAUUAUUGGGCGUAAAGAGCUCGUAGGCGGUUUGUCGCGUCUGUCGUGAAAGUCCGGGGCUUAACCCCGGAUCUGCGGUGGGUACGGGCAGACUAGAGUGCAGUAGGGGAGACUGGAAUUCCUGGUGUAGCGGUGGAAUGCGCAGAUAUCAGGAGGAACACCGAUGGCGAAGGCAGGUCUCUGGGCUGUAACUGACGCUGAGGAGCGAAAGCAUGGGGAGCGAACAGGAUUAGAUACCCUGGUAGUCCAUGCCGUAAACGUUGGGCACUAGGUGUGGGGACCAUUCCACGGUUUCCGCGCCGCAGCUAACGCAUUAAGUGCCCCGCCUGGGGAGUACGGCCGCAAGGCUAAAACUCAAAGGAAUUGACGGGGGCCCGCACAAGCGGCGGAGCAUGCGGAUUAAUUCGAUGCAACGCGAAGAACCUUACCAAGGCUUGACAUGUUCUCGAUCGCCGUAGAGAUACGGUUUCCCCUUUGGGGCGGGUUCACAGGUGGUGCAUGGUUGUCGUCAGCUCGUGUCGUGAGAUGUUGGGUUAAGUCCCGCAACGAGCGCAACCCUCGUUCCAUGUUGCCAGCACGUAAUGGUGGGGACUCAUGGGAGACUGCCGGGGUCAACUCGGAGGAAGGUGAGGACGACGUCAAAUCACCAUGCCCCUUAUGUCUUGGGCUUCACGCAUGCUACAAUGGCCGGUACAAUGAGUUGCGAUACUGUGAGGUGGAGCUAAUCCCAAAAAGCCGGUCUCAGUUCGGAUUGGGGUCUGCAACUCGGCCCCAUGAAGUCGGAGUCGCUAGUAAUCGCAGAUCAGCAACGCUGCGGUGAAUACGUUCCCGGGCCU